UGUACCUCCCUCCUCCCCUCCGUCCCUCUCCCCCAAUCACUCCUUCUCCUUCUUCUCCCUCUUCCCUACUAAAUCUGGGACUGCCUUAGCCAAACCAGUACAUAUAGGCAUACUGUUUAAAGAUAAAAUGUUAUAUAUGAAACAGGAUUAUCAGGGAAUGGUGGUACAGGUAUUGGCUCGCUCUCUCCAAUCCAUUAAAAAGUUGGUUGAUAAAUGUGAACAGUUGCAGGAGAGUUUCUUUCAGGUAAAAAGCAGAUAACAUGUAGAAAAUGGUUGCAAGAAACGUGGUACUUGUGUUGCAAAGAAGGCUCUCUCUAAGGCAAGAAGGUUUCUUUUCUACCCCCUCUUCAGUAAUUUUAAAGGUGCAAUAACAGGGCAUACUGCUAUGGGUGUUCUUAUAUGUUUGCUUGAAUCAGAGACUAGCAGUCAUUAUUGGCUGGUCACCAUGAAUAACUUUACAAAAUGGCUUUAAGCUUACUCAAGAAGAUAAAAGAAGUCUGGGAUGGAAAGAGGCCCUAUAGAGUAAAUUCUUUACCUGAUUUUUGAGGGCCUGAGUGAGUUGCAUACAGAACAAGGGAGAAAAGUUUGGAUUAAAAGCAUGUAAUCCAAUUUAUGAGAUUCUUGGGAUUCACAAAACACAUACCAUUCCCACUGACCCACAAUCUGACUGAAUGGUGAACAGGUUCAAUAGGACUCUGGAGAACCAGCUGGCUAUCCUUUGUAGAACAGCUGCAGAGCCUGGAGCCAAAAAAUCCCUUCCUUUCCAUGUUUUAUAGGACAAUGGUAAGCACUCUUCAAUUUGGGCAUGAGCUAAGGGUCUUGACAUACGUCUUGAAUGGAGUUCCUGAAGAAAAACAAAGGGAUACGACCUAGGUAGAAAUCCUGAAAUCCAGAUGGACAAAGCUCAGCCCUUUUCUGGAGGAAAUUUGAGGAUAACCUCUGCUAAAAUGAGAAGGCUGUAAGAUGUGAGGUCAUAUGUAGAAACUUCACUGUCCUAGUAGGAAGAAUGGCAGGAGCCAUCAGUUGGAUAAAUCUUGGGGGAGAUCCUAUGCAGUACCAAAGCCAGCCAGUGAAGUGGUAUGUACAGAACAGCUGUGUUCCAAGACUAAACCCAGAGUUGUUGGGUGUUGUAGAGGUAGAACUUAAUACAGUAUCACAUAUUUGGCCUCCUCUUCACACCAAGCCAACAAACUUCCUCCUGACACCCAGCUCUUCAGAGCUCACCACCUAUUUUUUCUCAGAACACAGAAUUUCCUCUUUAUAUAUCUAGCAAUGGAGUGAUCUUGGUGCAUCUGCAGAAGGCAAGGGGAAUAUUGAGAGAGGAACAUCUUCAGUCAUCAAUUCUAAACCAACUGAAUGCAAUCUGCCCUGCAAAGAAAAGUGUGUUCAAACAGGUUACACAUGGGUACUAGCUGAUUGAAGGUUUACCUCAUUCCUUGGAGUAUCCUUAACUCCACAUUAUGUGAAUGUGGGACUGCUGCUAACAUAAUUGAACUGUCCCCUCCUUGUACUCCAGGUAGUUGGAAUCAGCUAAACACCCCAUGGACCAAUGCACACAUGCAAGAAGAACAAUUACCACCCCCAGCUAUAAAGGACUAUUUAAGGAGACCUCAGAGACAAGAAUUUUGUGUGACUGUCACCAAAACUUCAUUACAUCUGUGGCAGCUAAGACUGAAAUAACUGUCCCAGGACUGGUUUCCCCCUUUAAAACCAAAUGGAUGAUGUCCACCUCAGUCAGCAUUUCCUUCACAAACCAGGGAUGCUUCUAAAGGUUCUGGUGAAACAUGACCCUCCUGACUGAAACUUGAGCUAGGAGCAAGAGACUAAAGACAUUUGGAUGCCAGGGAAAUUGAAACUGGUGAAUUGAAACUGUCCUGCUGGAAGAGCCUUGUAAUGAUGUAAAGAGUUCAGAUUGUGUCAGCUGUUGCUGUUGUGUGUUUGUCAAAUUACAAGUCUAUCUGAAUGGCUUAUUUGAGAUGUUACUGUUUGAGAUGCCAUAAGGACAAUGACUAAAGCUGAAGCUGAGGAGGGCAUCUAUGAAUCGGACUAAACGUUGUUGAAGGGAGUAGGUUUAACCACUCUCCUUCAUUUAAGUUGAAUGUAUUUCCUAGUCGAAACAAAAACAAAUGCAAGGCUGCUCAGGCAUUCAAACACUCUUGAGGUUUUAGCUAGGUGUCUGGGAAGGAUUGUGUGUGGGCAUGGAAGGGACCAAGGAAGAAGAAAGCUUCCACAAAGCCUAAAACAGCACUUGUGUGUGGCCUGGGGAAAAGCCUCUAAAGUUGACUCUUGGGGCAGGUGCUACAUAAAGAGUUGCCGGUAGGUCUCCUUGCAUUGGAAUAGUGUGCUUGCUUCGGUCCGUGCUAUGUGCCACCGUUUGUAAGUUCCAGAAACCUUCAGAAAAUAAUACUGUUCCACAGGAAGAAUUUCUUGCCAAUGAGGACUUCACUUGCAGCAGCUCUACCUGCAGCACGAGAAAUGCCAUGUACUGACAGAACCUGUUUAGAAGCAGCAUCGCAUGUGCUUGAACCUCUAAACGAAAGCAGCAGGAGCUCAAGGCAAGUACUGUAAAUUAUGUCACGGGGAUGGAUUUUCCAUGUUACUGCCUAUUAUGCCCAGGCUGUCCUCCAGCUUGUUUCCUUUUGUUGUUUCAAGAUAAUCUAGUGUGGGUAACAGCAGUAGAUAAGAACACUUGGCAUGACUUACUCCACUGAAAUGAAUGGUGAUAUAGGUGUAAAAAUAUUUGUGAGUCUGGCUCUCUUG